CCUACGGGGGGCUGCAGUGGGGAAUAUUGCACAAUGGGCGCAAGCCUGAUGCAGCCAUGCCGCGUGUGUGAAGAAGGCCUUCGGGUUGUAAAGCACUUUCAGCGGGGAGGAAGGCGUUAAGGUUAAUAACCUUGGCGAUUGACGUUACCCGCAGAAGAAGCACCGGCUAACUCCGUGCCAGCAGCCGCGGUAAUACGGAGGGUGCAAGCGUUAAUCGGAAUUACUGGGCGUAAAGCGCACGCAGGCGGUCUGUCAAGUCGGAUGUGAAAUCCCCGGGCUCAACCUGGGAACUGCAUUCGAAACUGGCAGGCUAGAGUCUUGUAGAGGGGGGUAGAAUUCCAGGUGUAGCGGUGAAAUGCGUAGAGAUUUGGAGGAAUACCGGUGGCGAAGGCGGCCCCCUGGACAAAGACUGACGCUCAGGUGCGAAAGCGUGGGGAGCAAACAGGAUUAGAUACCCGGGUAGUC
rnacentral:rRNA from 1 species